UUCCAGGUCACCCAAUUGACUGGUUUCUCAGAUCCAGUGUACGCAGAAGCAUAUGUCCAUGUCAAUCAGUAUGACAUCGUCCUGGAUGUCCUGGUUGUUAAUCAGACUAGCGACACCCUACAGAACUGUACCCUGGAGCUGGCAACACUUGGUGAUCUUAAAUUGGUUGAGAAACCAUCUCCUCUUACAUUGGCUCCUCACGACUUUGCCAACAUCAAAGCCAAUGUGAAGGUGGCCUCCACAGAGAAUGGCAUCAUAUUUGGAAACAUAGUAUACGAUGUAUCAGGAGCAGCCAGUGACAGGAACUGCGUAGUCCUCAGCGAC